GCCUGGAUAGAUAAGAGGUAAAUUAUGUGACUCACCAUCACAUACUCUAGGUUCGAGUCCCAUUUGGGUC
rnacentral:tRNA from 1 species